GUAAUCUUAGUAUAUUAUAGUAUAGUAGUUUGUCUCACUGCAGGAGGGUGUGGCCCAGGUUGCU
rnacentral:tRNA from 1 species